CGUGCUAGCCUCGGUGCUGGCCCUACACGAUGGCACGGCACCGUUCACUGCUGCCACCAUGGGCCGUUCAAUGACACAGCAUCGAGUCGUUCGACACCGCAGCUCAGGAGUUUGCCUCCUUUCCCAACCUCCACUAUGCUCCAGCUAAGAAUAAAAAUAUGAUGUAUGCAUUGCUUCUUGGCCCAGCCGAGAGAACACUCGUGUUAAAAAGUAUAAAGCAGUUUUGAAGCAAUUCUCAGUGUCUUUAGAAGCAUUCAUGGUUAAAAAGCAACGACAACCUCCGUUCGAGUUGAGAAAUGGUCAUCGUCCAAGUUGAGCAGUAGGUGUCGUCCAAGUUCAAAGAGGGUUGUAUGCAAGUACAAAAGUUUGUUUCAGUGAGAAAAAAUGCGGGGUUUUGACAAUAUUCUGUAUGAUUCAUUUGUUCAUCCUUAGAACUUGGCAAAUUUCAGUCUAUUUUUCUAUGAUGGAGGCACACAUGAAGUCCUGUGCAAUGGUUA